AUUGCUUCCAGUCUUUUGGCUAAGAUCAAGUGUAGUAU
rnacentral:snRNA from 1 species